rnacentral:rRNA from 1 species
GAUCCUGGCUCAGGACGAACGCUGGCGGCGUGCUUAACACAUGCAAGUCGAACGCUGAAGCUUGGGUGCUUGCAUCUGGGUGGAUGAGUGGCGAACGGGUGAGUAAUACGUGAGUAACCUGCCCUUGACUCUGGGAUAAGCCUGGGAAACUGGGUCUAAUACUGGAUACUACAUUCUCUCGCAUGGGGGUGUGUGGAAAGGGUUUUACUGGUUUUGGAUGGGCUCACGGCCUAUCAGCUUGUUGGUGGGGUAAUGGCCUACCAAGGCGACGACGGGUAGCCGGCCUGAGAGGGUGACCGGCCACACUGGGACUGAGACACGGCCCAGACUCCUACGGGAGGCAGCAGUGGGGAAUAUUGCACAAUGGGCGAAAGCCUGAUGCAGCGACGCCGCGUGAGGGAUGACGGCCUUCGGGUUGUAAACCUCUUUCAGCACGGAAGAAGCGAAAGUGACGGUACGUGCAGAAGAAGCGCCGGCUAACUACGUGCCAGCAGCCGCGGUAAU